AACAAACCAAAACAACUUUGAUACCGGGUUCCAAAUUAUGCAUUAUGUAGUGCCCUCAGGCUCCUGGAACCUUUAUUAUGACCCUCCUCCUGGGAUCGAAUAUCCAUGAUCGGUAAUCUAGCCUCUCAAGGGAAAUGGUUGCUUGGCGUGGAACAGUUCGCGCUAUGGCGUUUCCAAGAGGAAUCAAGCCUUCGUUUGGAACGGCCAUUUGGCUCGAAGGCGUUUUUUGUGUCCAAUCGAACGCACCCAUUCAAGUGGAUCCCGAUUUAAAGCAAAGCCUCCUAGAUCGAACCAGAGUGAUAGAUUCAACCCAAGAAUGUGUCCAAGUCAUGGAACAUUUGCAAAAAGUUGACAACCCAUCGGAUUGGACAUGGAAGGCAUCCAUUUUCACCCUUUGGGACUGAUCCAAGUCCGAGCGUGGGACAAGUCCAUCUAUCUGUUCCGAACACACGAAAUCCGGAUCUCUUGGUACAGGCCAAUUGAAAAAUUUGCUUGAAAACGCAAACAUAAUCAAGGUGAUGCAUGGUUCAACUAUGGAUUGUCUGGCCAUCCAUCGAUUCCGGAAUCAACAUGUGGGGUCUUUUUGGAUACGGCCAUGGCUCACAAAGUGGUGGCAAUAUCAGAAUCACGGCGUUUCGCGCUUGCCGAUUCGCUCUCGUUUAAUCGUGUGUGUCUAGCAAAUGGGUUACAGAUCAAUCCCUUGAAGGACUCCAUGACGGACUUACUUUGGCGCGAUUCUUCCGUCUAUCUUCAGAAACCUUGGAUGAAGAUCUGUUGCUCUAUUCAGCUUGGAUGUGGACCCACUCUUGGAUCUAUAUCACAUCUACGAAUCCCAAAUCGACCGGAUUAUUGGCCAUGUUCCAAUCCAUGUGUGAAAACGAGAUGCUCCGCGCCAUUGACAACAAAUUAUACCGGUUCCGACGUGCUCUGGCGGCGAGGUUCGUCCAAUCAAUCUGGGAUCUUCAUCCAAAACAUUGGACCCAUAUGGAAUAAGGGCACAUUUACGACUAUCUAAGAGGAAUGGACGGCUACAAAACCGUACUUUUCUCCGACUCUAACCGGUCGGCUCAUGUUUUGGCCCAAAAUAGAACGAGUGCCUAUAUCUAAUACAAAACUCUCCGCUCCAAGAUUCAAGAUCAAGCCGACUGUUCGGAUUUUCCUCAAUUGAAAGUUGGUUUGGUGAUCCCACCCUCGUCGAAAGGGUCCAUGUCUCUCAAUUGGACUCCACCGAGAAAGCCCGUUUCUCAACUUGAACGGA